GCCCGGCUAGCUUAGUCGGUAGAGCAUGAGACUUUUAAUCUCAGGGUCGUGGGUUCAAGCCCCACGUUGGGGGCU
rnacentral:tRNA from 1 species